rnacentral:lncRNA from 1 species
CUUUCUUUGUAGGAAUAUUCAUCUUGGCGAGGGUUCGUCUUUAAUUGUAAUAGAACAGGCUGACAGGAAGAAAAAAGGUUGAGGUAAAAAGGGGACGCUCAUAUUCUGUCAGCUCUACGUUUCUCAUUUCAGAGAAUGGAUGGGAUGGGCGCUUUAAAGGUCAACUGCCCUUUAGAACCAACUUCUCUGGUUUUAACAGGCUUAUGUGUCAUCAAUUAAUUAUAGUGUAAAACCAAAUACUACAAAGUUGGAUCAUUUUUGUCAUACAGUCAGUCUCGUCCAAACAGAGUUUUGCUAUGUACAAAACCUGGUGGAUUUGUUGUUCAGCAGCGUCAUAUGGAAAACCUGCUACCAUAUCAGGAGCAGUUACAGAAGGCUGAGGCAAUGGCCAGACACCAGUCCUGCUUCAGAAUAAUGGAGGACACUUGAAUUAAGUUUGUCACAUUUGAUCUGGAGCUGGGUCGGAUAUAGGAGCCGAAGUUGGUGAGAGGAGCCUGGAGCUAAUCUAUGCUGCCAUAACCAUCAGGCGUUGGCAAACACCUCAGAAGGGACAAAAGACAGGCAGAAGAGAUGCUUUGGAAAUCAGUCCUCUGACUGAAUGACAGGUUGAUACUGACGUCUGAAUUGGGAGAGCAAUACAAUUAUGCAAGACAUCUAUUACUUUUCAUUGUCUUUUGUUAUUAUUGAACUGAAUGGUACUGUAUUCUUGUCAGGGAACUCCUGUCUUAUUUACUUGGAACUGUUACACUUGAAAGUUACAUCUACAUUGUUCAGCAAUUGCAGUCUUCUCAUAUACUCUGUAGGCUACUGACCAAUGCAAAGAUUCCUCCUGCAUUACAUUAUAUACAGUAGAUGGAAGGGACUUCAUUACCCACUGGAGACUUGAAGACAGAACCUCACAAGAGAGCUGUGCAUGUCAGUGAGUGGUUAGAAAGCCAAAUCCUUAUUUUUGAUCAAAACGACAAAUAGAAUGCCAUUCUAGUUCUGGUUAGACAGCUGAAGUUGUACUCUACACACAACUUAUUUUAGUUUACUACUUAAGUGUAGGUGUAUAAUGCUGUAAACCACAUUAUUUUUUUGUUUGUUGAUGAAUGUAUUUACACUCAAGCUGGGCGAUGUUUGUCCAAUGUCCACACAUAGGCUACACCUGUUGUAUGGAUAUUAGUAGUUCUGGAAUUUGUCUCCAGGGAAUGAUCUAACAGCAGACGUAAGGAGAGACGAGACGAACUAGCCAGUUACAGAAUAUUGUGUUGUAGUUGGUCAGCUGAGCUGAAUAAAGAGCGGGCAUUGAACUUGCAGUUGAUACCAUUUCCACGGUAACAUGUAUUUAAUUUACAUGACGUGAUGAAAUGUUGAAACUAAGUUGCAAGCUACUUUCAUAGCAAGGUGGUGUAGACACUGGCUCUUGCUAUCUUGCCAUAACUGAUUUGACAGAGAAAUAUCAUCUAUAUAGGCCAGUCAGUUGAGGCUAUCACCAAGCUAUGCUAGCAAGCUGCUGUCAGCUUGGCUAAACACAAGGUCAGCACAGAUUUGAGCCUACACAUAGAACUGAAUUAGCUGAGCAUCUUGAGAUGCCAAGUCAUUUAACUUCAAAACUUUGUUCUCUCCAUAACAAAACUAGCUUAGCGUACGUCACUGUACUCAUUACGGCCCUUGUUUGUUGUGAUUGAAUGGCAAAGACAAACCCUC